rnacentral:lncRNA from 1 species
ACAUACAUGCAGAUACUAUGAAAAUACAUUGUCUUACACAAAUACAACUAAACUAAAUAGAGGUGUGUCUUGGUGAAUCAGAUUUGGACAAGGAUGAACAGAUGAGUCAUGCUCUAGGUACAGUAUGUACUGUAGCGUACGUGUGUGCCUGUGUGUGUGUGUGUGCGCAUGUGCGUGUGCAGCAUUCUCUCACUCUACUUCCACUCACAUAAACACCAAUGACCAGCCCCAUAUCAUAUCACUACCCUUGUGUUGACAUUGUAUCAGUAACAGAGUAAAGGUGUGAGAGAAAACACAAAAUGGUAUCUUAUGGGGAAAACACUUUGGUAACACAAUGUUCCAUGGAAGUCCUGCCUGUCACUCUCAGUGAAGAUUAGAUUAUAAAUCUGAGAUGUAUGACUGGUUCUUAACAGAAGGAAUCUACAAUGACACCCUUUGAGCUCUGUGUAUCAAAUUUCAGGGUGGUAAAGAGGGACACCAACACAUGCAACAUGUGUGAACAAGACAAUGUGAGCAAGACAAAGGAGCUGAUCAUGUAGUACAGGAAAAGGCGGGCCGAACGGGCCCCCAUUAACAUCGACGGGGCUGUAGUGGAGCGGGUCGAGAGUUUCAAGUUCCUUGGUGUCCACAUCACCGACGAACUAUCAUGGCCCAAACACACCAAGACAGUUGUGAAGAAGGCACGACAACACCUUUUCCCCCUCAGGAGACUGAAAAGAUUUGGCAUGGGUCCCCAGAUCCUCAAAAAGUUCUACAGCUGUACCGUCGAGAGCAUCCUGACCGGUUGCAUCACCGCAUGGUAUGGCAACUGCUCGGUAUCUGACCGUAAUGCGCUACAGAGGGUAGUGCGUACGGCCCAGUACAUCACUGGGGCCAAGUUUCCUGUCAUCCAGGACCUAUAUACUAGGCGGUGUUAGAGGAAAGCCCAAACAUUUUUCAAAGACUCCGAUCACCCAAGUCAUAGACUGUUCUCUCUGCUAUCGCACGGCAAGCGGUACUGGAGCGCCAAGUCUAGGACCAAAAGGCUCCUUAACAGCUUCUACCCCAAAGCCGUAAGACUGCUGAACAAUUAAUCAAAUUGCCGCACCCCCCUUUCGUUUUUACACUGCUGCUACUCGCUGUUUAUUAUAUACAGUAUGCAUUAGUCACUUCACUUUACCCUUACCUACAAAUUACCUCCACUAACCGGUACCCCCGUCAUUUUUUUGGUAUUAUUUCAACAUAGGGUGUGAAACUACCAGUCAGCCAUGAUGUUGCAUCAUAGGAUGUGGACAUUGGGACAUGUCGACUUGCAGUCCACAGUCAACAUGAUUGACAGAGAACUAUAUUGAUACUGUAAAUGGCUGCAUUUAUUUUAUUUUUGUAUUUUAUUUUUACAAUACAAAACUAAACAUACACAUACAAAUGACAACAUACAGACACACACAAACAUCCACAACAUCAUCCCUGGCCAGACACAGCUGCUCAUACCCCCAUCUCCAGCGCCAGCAUCACUCUCGGCCACAUGGCCUCAAACUGUACCAUUUCGUUUCUCUAUGUCGCCCACACACUUUCAACAUUUAGAUAAUAAAUAAGUUGACAUUUCCACUGUGUUAACUAUGGAGGAUUGGUUGAUUUCCCAUUUUGAAGUACUGUAUAUGUUUUUUUAGAAAUGGUUAAUGAGAAAAGUAUCAUCCAACCCAGCCGGUAUCUCACUGCGCCCUCAUAUGCCAUGUCUUGAAAUAUACAGACAGACAGAUUAAAAGUACAUUUACAUUGUAAAUGGCUCAAUUCUUAGAAUGUGUAUUUUUACGCUAGCACUUGAACACAUUAUAGCAGGCAAUUACUUCAGUCAAAUUUCAUUCGAUUUUUUUUUACAAUCGAAGUCAACAUUCAUUCAACUUCAUUUAAUUACUUACUAUAUAAAAGGUAAUUGUUGACUGUAGAGGGCAACUAAAAAUCCCCCAAAAUUCCAUUAUUAGUAUUUGUAGACUAUGACCUGGAGGUUAAACCCUGACAGAGGGAUUUAUUUUGUGAUAUCUGAUGUGACAUUCCUAAAUGUUUAGUGGAACUGUACUGUGCUACUGUAUCUUCCAGCAGAGAAAGUUACCCUUAGAGCAGCUAUUCCUCUUUCUGCCUCUCUCUCUCUCUCUCUCUCUCUCUCUCUCUCUCUCUCUCUCUCUAUCUCACUCUCUCGCUCUCUCGCUCUUGCUCUCUCUUUCUCUCUCGAUUUCUCUCUCUCUCUCUCUGUUUCUCUCUCUCUCUCUUCUCUCAAGUGGAGCCUCAGGCUGUGACACCUAUUAUGAGGUCUUUAGAUGACUGGCUAAUUAAAUGUAGCUGUAAUUAAAUUAUAAUGAGUAGCUAAGAGACAGCAGAGGAAACAGUCAAUUCAUUAAUUGCCUGGCCUGUGAAUAGAGUAGGACCAUGUUAGCUCUGUUAGUCUGUCUGGGUCUAUCUGGGAGAGGGACGGCCACACCACUGUCCAUAACGUACAUUGAACCCAAACAGUUGUAUUUGUGGUAGAGCAUGAAGUCUUGUAGAGACAAUUUGUUCUGUUCUGUAAUUUUGAUAUUGUGUCAGCAGACAGUUGGUAAGGUUAUUGUUUUGUCAUUGACUUGUCUGCUUCCUUGUAAGAUGGUGUGGUACCAAGAGAGAGGUUCUAGAUGUGCUUAGUAAAUAUCAUUUUGGUUUACAAAGAAUGCACUCAAAUCAACUUGCACCUAAUCAUCUCUGACAUGACUAGAAACAUAACCUUUCUCACAUUCGCAAUAACCAUGAGUGAACUAACGCCUCAGGAUGUCAAUGUAACCGUUUAUUUCCACCGAUUACAGUGUUUUGGCAAUCCCUAUUGUGAAAGUGCUACUGAUUUUAACUCAAUUUAGCAACAUAGCGUCAAUUGUGAAAUUCUGUACUUCAAUAUUCAACAUUUUGAGAAAGGAGACUCAGUCUUGCCUCAGUUCUCAGUUUUCAGUUUUGUUCUUACUGUCAAUAAUAUCUGACCUGCUAGCAGGAGUUGUUGCAUUGCACUAGCAUCUCACUAACAUCUCAUUAAAUAAAUCAUCUUUACAAUAAUAACCUAGUAACAACACAGUCAUUUACAUAGUGUAAGAACAGGAAGGCAGAUUACUACAGCGUUACAACAUGAAGGUACAGUAGACAAUGUAAAGAGGCAUAUUAUCGGAUAACUAUUGUAUAUUGGGGAAAAACUGCAAAUAUAUGAGGACAAUCUCAUCUCAGGAGUGCCAAUGUUAUUGUCAAACUAUGCAAAGCAACUUUCAAAUGCCAGUGUGCUGCUGAAACUUUAUUGACACAUAAAACAAGUGGACGUGCACACCCUUACUAUUCUGCUGCCGCUUAUGACGUACACACCUACGAUAGGUGAGGCUAUCAUAGUUUUGUGAUGCAUGACUCAAUGUGGGUCCCAAUAGUCUUAAGUGGCUUCCUGUUCUCCUCCUUUCCUUUACCUGCAAUCGGAAAACCAGUGGAGAGGUAAAAGCACUAUGGACUAGGUGCUGCAGCAAGCUGGCACCCAUUGUCAGGCUUAUAGAGUGUUAGGAUGAGGGACACCAUUUUCCACAGCUCUAAGUGUUGGGAUGAGGGACACCAUUCUCCACAGCUCUGAGGACAGGCAGGGUGUCUGUGUCUGCAAAACCCUCACAGACUUCCUCUGAACUGAGGUGGAAGUGAAACGGCUUGGCAUUCAAGGAAACACAGGAGAUUCAGGAGAAGUCAGACUGACAGUGUUAUAUUUUGUGGUUUCUGAAAUCCCCUCAUAGAAAAAACAGCUCAGGCGUUAUGGUUCAAAUUCUCAUGUCUGUCGGGCCUAGGUCAGCAGAAUCUACAGUGUGGUUGCAAGGACUAGAGAUUUGGUUCACUUGUUCACAAAAGUGAAAAGAGUUUAUGCAAUGGCAUUAUUCAGAAACAAUAGCAUAUGGCCCUGUUAAAUGUAUAGGUUGAGAUAAAAAAUAUAUUUAAAAAAA